rnacentral:rRNA from 1 species
UACGUAGGGGGCUAGCGUUGUCCGGAUUUAUUGGGCGUAAAGAGCGUGUAGGCGGCCAUGUAGGUCCGGUGUGAAAACUCGAGGCUCAACCUCGAGACGCCGGUUGAAACCAUUUGGCUAGAGUCCGGAAGAGGAGAGUGGAAUUCCUGGUGUAGCGGUGAAAUGCGCAGAUAUCAGGAAGAACACCCGUGGCUAAGGCGGCUCUCUAGUACGGUACUGACGCUGAGACGCGAAAGCGUGGGGAGCGAACAGG